GCCCUGGUGGUACAAUGGUUAGGCAUUUGGCUGCGAACUAAAAGAUUGGUGGUUCUAAUCCAUUCCAGAAGCU
rnacentral:tRNA from 1 species